UGGGUAACGCACCCCAGACACAGGAACAACAACGGGAAACCGUUGCUAAUGCCUGAUAACCCCUGCUUACCGCAUGGCGGGCAGGGCAAAAGCUCCGGCGGUCUGGGACCGGCCCGCGUCCUAUCAGCUUGUUGGUGGGGUAAUGGCCUACCAAGGCGAUGACGGGUAGCUGGCGUGAGAGCGUGACCAGCCACACGUGGGACUGAGACACCGGCCCAGACCUCCGUACGGGAGGCAGNAGGUAGG
rnacentral:rRNA from 1 species